AUACGGGGGGUGCAAGCGUUAAUCGGAAUUACUGGGCGUAAAGCGCGCGUAGGCGGCUUGUUAAGUCAAAUGUGAAAGCCCCGGGCUCAACCUGGGAAUUGCAUUCGAUACUGGCUAGCUAGAGUAUGGUAGAGGGAAGUGGAAUUUCAGGUGUAGCGGUGAAAUGCGUAGAUAUCUGAAGGAACGUCAGUGGCGAAGGCGACUUCCUGGACCAAUACUGACGCUGAGGUGCGAAAGCGUGGGGAGCAAACAGGAUUAGAAACCCGGGUAGUCC
rnacentral:rRNA from 1 species